CCUUUAUUCUCUCUCUCUCUCCCUCUCGAUCUCUCUCUCUCUCUCCUGUUCUCGGGUUGUGUGUGUGUGCUGUGUGAGGGUGGCGGCGGCUGAGGGAUGGGGAAAAUGGGGCGGUGCGGAGGCUUCGAUCUAAGUUGUAUUUUGUUAAGUUUUUGUGUGAAUUGUGGAAACUGAAUAUUUUACAGAUGUUCAUUGAAAUGCUUGAGAUUUCAUAUGGAUGUCUUGACAUUCUAUUUUUAUUGAGUUAUCCUUUAAAUUUGUGGGUUAGUUUAGAUGAGAUUCAUGUCAAGAUUAAUGGAAAAUUAUUCUGAUUUUGUUGUGUUAUGGUGCUCCUAAUUUCUUACAUGUAGAUUGAUUGGCUCUCUGUUAUAAUUCCAUCUUUUCCUUUAUGAAAUUGAAAAUUUAUGAUUGGAUUGGAUUGGUGAUGAGGUCUAGGAGGUUUAAUCUGGUUGAUUCUUUUUAUUGGCUACUGGUGUUAGAUUUUAGAAGUUUUGAUUAUCUCUUGUGCUGAUCACUCCAAUUAAUCUGAGGAGAGCUUAUGCUAAAGUAAACUGUAAGCUUACUCACAACCAAAAUACAAAUCUAGAGACAAUUUGAACCUACCAGAAUUCAAUUAUCAGAUACUGGAUACUGCACUUGGUGCUUUUAUUUGAUAACUUCUUUUUAUUUAUGGCAAACCAUUCAAAGACUCGAAGACAGCAAGGUGAUGAAAAACUGGCUUCUGCAUCCGAUUGGAGAAUGUAACUUGCAGCUAUUUGCUCUUGUUUCAUUAUGGAUAUCAAGCAAAAUACAUGAUUCACCUUCUCUGUCUGUUAAAAAUUUCAAAUCCUUGGGAGACAACUUUAUCAAGGAGCAACAUUUCACCAUGGGGGAUAUUUUGGAAGCUUAAUCGAGUUUCUUUAAGGUUCUGCAAUUUGGGAUUGGCAUGUCGAAAAUUGCUUUUGCUUCAGUUGAAGAGCUUCUUGUUCAAUUCAAGUAAGCUUCGUGACCAACAAGGAGUUCUUUCUGCCCCUUCAGUUUGAAACUGCUUUCUAAACUAAUGUGUAAAUUCUAAUUGGGGAAUUUUUAUUUUUUGGUUAACUUAGGGCAGUUGCCCAAGUUGGGGAGCAUGUGAAGUUUGAAGCUUGUAUAGAUGUUAUGGAUCUGCUUUAUGAAAAUGAAGAGUAUUGCUGUAGAAUACAGAAUCACUACCUAUGUAGUUAUAGAAAGAUUUAGGUUGUUAAUAUCUUUCAUAUUUCUUUUAUUUAAGAAGCUCGGGUUGGCUAUGUUUUGCAGGUGAACUCGCUCGUGUUGGUGGAGGCUCAUUAGUGUAAUUGAGUUUAUCAUCUUGGCGGAUCAAGUAGAUGGGAGUCGAUGAGCUAUGAGGACUACUACAAAAGAGAAGGCUGAAGCAGAGAACGUCGUUUCAAAUGUCUAGCAAGUUGCGCGCAUUUGUAAUAUUUUUUAAUUAAUCAUAUAGCUAACUAGAAUAUUUGUGUUGUUUUCAUUAUAUUUGGAUGAUAAUGUAUGAAUAUUUCGGAUGUUAUAUAAUAUAUGUUAUCGAUGGCAA